rnacentral:rRNA from 1 species
GGGGAAUUUUGGACAAUGGGCGCAAGCCUGAUCCAGCAAUGCCGCGUGCAGGAUGAAGGCCUUCGGGUUGUAAACUGCUUUUGCACGGAACGAAAAGCCUCUCUCUAAUACAGGGGGCUGAAGGUACCUGAAGAAUAAGCAUCGGCUAACUCCGUGCCAGCAGCCGCGGUAAUACGGAGGAUGCAAGCGUUAUCCGGAUUCAUUGGGUUUAAAGGGUGCGCAGGCGGAUUGAUAAGUCAGGGGUGAAAUCCCACAGCUCAACUGUGGAACUGCCUUUGAUACUGUUAGUCUUGAGUAUAGUUGAGGUGGGCGGAAUGUGUCAUGUAGCGGUGAAAUGCUUAGAUAUGACACAGAACACCGAUCGCGAAGGCAGCUCGCUAAGCUAUAACUGACGCUCAUGCACGAAAGCGUGGGGAUCAAACA